rnacentral:rRNA from 1 species
UACGUAGGGUGCAAGCGUUGUCCGGAAUUAUUGGGCGUAAAGAGCUCGUAGGCGGUCUGUCGCGUCGGCUGUGAAAACCCGGGGCUCAACCCCGGGCCUGCAGUCGAUACGGGCAGACUAGAGUGCGGUAGGGGAGACUGGAAUUCCUGGUGUAGCGGUGAAAUGCGCAGAUAUCAGGAGGAACACCGGUGGCGAAGGCGGGUCUCUGGGCCGUAACUGACGCUGAGGAGCGAAAGCGUGGGGAGCGAAUAGG